rnacentral:rRNA from 1 species
ACCAGCGGCCAUAGCGUGUUGAAUGCAUUAAUUCACCCACGGAUCACUGAAGUUAAACAACGUUGUGCGUGGUUGGUAUCAGGAUAGGUAAUCAUGUUAUAAGCCUAGCCACUACUC